rnacentral:rRNA from 1 species
AACGCGAAGAACCUUACCUACCCUUGACAUCUACAGAAGACUGCAGAGAUGCGGUUGUGCCGAAAGGAACUGUAAGACAGGUGCUGCAUGGCUGUCGUCAGCUCGUGUUGUGAGAUGUUGGGUUAAGUCCCGUAACGAGCGCAACCCUUAUCCUUAGUUACCAGCACGUUAUGGUGGGAACUCUAAGGAGACUGCCGGUGAUGAACCGGAGGAAGGCGGGGACGACGUCAAGUCAUCAUGGCCUUUAUGGGUAGGGCUACACACGUGCUACAAUGGACGGUACAGAGGGCAGCGAAAGCGCGAGCUGGAGCCAAUCCCGAAAAGCCGUUCGUAGUCCGGAUCGGAGUCUGCAACUCGACUCCGUGAAGUCGGAAUCGCUAGUAAUGCUAUAUCAGAACGAUAGCGUGAAUACGUUCCCGGGCCUUGUACACACCGAGUAUA